AAAGUCGAACGGAAAGGCCCAGCUUGCUGGGUACUCGAGUGGCGAACGGGUGAGUAACACGUGGGUGAUCUGCCCUGCACUCUGGGAUAAGCCUGGGAAACUGGGUCUAAUACCGGAUAUGACCAACUGUCGCAUGGUGGUUGGUGGAAAGCUUUUGCGGUGUGGGAUGGGCCCGCGGCCUAUCAGCUUGUUGGUGGGGUAAUGGCCUACCAAGGCGACGACGGGUAGCCGACCUGAGAGGGUGAUCGGCCACACUGGGACUGAGACACGGCCCAGACUCCUACGGGAGGCAGCAGUGGGGAAUAUUGCACAAUGGGCGCAAGCCUGAUGCAGCGACGCCGCGUGAGGGAUGACGGCCUUCGGGUUGUAAACCUCUUUCACCAGGGACGAAGCGUGAGUGACGGUACCUGGAGAAGAAGCACCGGCCAACUACGUGCCAGCAGCCGCGGUAAUACGUAGGGUGCGAGCGUUGUCCGGAAUUACUGGGCGUAAAGAGCUCGUAGGCGGUUUGUCGCGUCGUCUGUGAAAUUCUGCAACUCAAUUGCAGGCGUGCAGGCGAUACGGGCAGACUUGAGUACUACAGGGGAGACUGGAAUUCCUGGUGUAGCGGUGAAAUGCGCAGAUAUCAGGAGGAACACCGGUGGCGAAGGCGGGUCUCUGGGUAGUAACUGACGCUGAGGAGCGAAAGCGUGGGUAGCGAACAGGAUUAGAUACCCUGGUAGUCCACGCCGUAAACGGUGGGUACUAGGUGUGGGUUCCUUUUCACGGGAUCCGUGCCGUAGCUAACGCAUUAAGUACCCCGCCUGGAGAGUACGGCCGCAAGGCUAAACUCAAGAGAAUUUGACGGAAAGG
rnacentral:rRNA from 1 species